rnacentral:rRNA from 1 species
CGGCAGGCCUACACAUGCAGUCGAGCGGAUGAAGGGAGCUUGCUCCUGGAUUCAGCGGCGGACGGGUGAGUAAUGCCUAGGAAUCUGCCUGGUAGUGGGGGAUAACGUCCGGAAACGGGCGCUAAUACCGCAUACGUCCUGAGGGAGAAAGUGGGGGAUCUUCGGACCUCACGCUAUCAGAUGAGCCUAGGUCGGAUUAGCUAGUUGGUGGGGUAAAGGCCUACCAAGGCGACGAUCCGUAACUGGUCUGAGAGGAUGAUCAGUCACACUGGAACUGAGACACGGUCCAGACUCCUACGGGAGGCAGCAGUGGGGAAUAUUGGACAAUGGGCGAAAGCCUGAUCCAGCCAUGCCGCGUGUGUGAAGAAGGUCUUCGGAUUGUAAAGCACUUUAAGUUGGGAGGAAGGGCAGUAAGUUAAUACCUUGCUGUUUUGACGUUACCAACAGAAUAAGCACCGGCUAACUUCGUGCCAGCAGCCGCGGUAAUACGAAGGGUGCAAGCGUUAAUCGGAAUUACUGGGCGUAAAGCGCGCGUAGGUGGUUCAGCAAGUUGGAUGUGAAAUCCCCGGGCUCAACCUGGGAACUGCAUCCAAAACUACUGAGCUAGAGUACGGUAGAGGGUGGUGGAAUUUCCUGUGUAGCGGUGAAAUGCGUAGAUAUAGGAAGGAACACCAGUGGCGAAGGCGACCACCUGGACUGAUACUGACACUGAGGUGCGAAAGCGUGGGGAGCAAACAGGAUUAGAUACUCUGGUAGUCCACGCCGUACACGAUGUCGACUAGCCGUUGGGAUCCUUGAGAUCUUAGUGGCGCAGCUAACGCGAUAAGUCGACCGCCU